rfam:Nomascus leucogenys chromosome 12, whole genome shotgun sequence.
AUACUUACCUGGCAGGGAAAAUACCAUGAUCACUAAGGUGGUUUUUCCAGGACGAGGCUUAUUCAUUGCACUCCGGAUGUGCUGACCUCUGCGAUUUCCUUAAAUGUGGGAAACCCGACUGCAUAGUUUAUGGCAGUGGGGGACUGCGUUCGCGCUUUCCCCUG